rnacentral:lncRNA from 1 species
CUUGUUUAGUCAUAAAUUUCUUCCUGCUAGUUCACAAUUAUAUUGUUGAAUUAUAGCCAGCCAAUUAUUCAAAUCAUUUCAAUCAUGAUAUAUCGUUAUAUUGUUGAAUUUAAACUUGUUGGGCAACUUUCAUGCUCACCCUUGCUAUAUCAUGAUAAAACAUUGCAGAUUAAGGCGAAUACGUCAGAUACAAGGAAAGGUCCAAG